rnacentral:rRNA from 1 species
AGGACGAACGCUGGCGGCGUGCUUAACACAUGCAAGUCGAGCGGAAAGGCCCUUCGGGGUACUCGAGCGGCGAACGGGUGAGUAACACGUGAGCAACCUGCCCUUAGCUUCGGGAUAGCUCCGGGAAACCGGAAUUAAUACCGGAUAUGACUAUGGCCGACAUCAGCCAUGGUGGAAAGUUUUUCGGCUAGGGAUGGACUCGCGGCCUAUCAGCUAGUUGGUGAGGUAACGGCUCACCAAGGCGACGACGGGUAGCCGGCCUGAGAGGGCGACCGGCCACACUGGGACUGAGACACGGCCCCAGACUCCUACGGGAGGCAGCAGUGGGGAAUAUUGCGCAAUGGGCGAAAGCCUGACGCAGCGACGCCGCGUGGGGGAUGAAUGCCUUCGGGUUGUAAACCCCUUUCAGCAGGGACGAAGCGAAAGUGACGGUACCUGCAGAAGAAGCGCCGGCUAACUACGUGCCAGCAGCCGC